GCCACACCGAGAUUUCCUCUCGCUCCCUCCCGGUUUCCCCUCUGUCUCUCUCUCUCUCUUCCCCGAACGCGCAACAGCGCUAGGGAUUCGCCCUCCCACUAAAUCGAGAUUCAGAUCAUGGAGGGCGGCGUAGGAACUGUCGAAUCCUGCCACCCCCAGAAUCCUUCUUCCUCUCCUUCCCUUCUUUAUGCCCAACACAUGUACACCCACCUGUAGCAGCUCCUCUAUUCUUCGCAUGUUCAAUUGCUCCUCUACUCUUUCCCUCUGUGUGUGCUUUUCUUUGUAUCUCUACUCAGGACAACGGCGACUAGGCGGACCGGCGACUGGCGGGGCGACGGAAAAGGGUGGGCGACGCCGUGACAAGAUGAGGGCAUGAGGCGGAGAAACCGAGCGGACAAGCAACCGGCGCACCUACAGGUACAUCCAUACAGGUGAAUCGAUCGAUAUUUCUUUUUUUUAACAGGCACACGUACAUGGAAAAGGGAUCGAUUAAUCGAUCGAACCGAUAGCUGCUAGGCAGGCGUGGAUGCACGGUGUGCUGGCCGGUGUCCAGAUCCAGAUCUUACAGGUGCCCAGCCCAAAAAGCUGGACUAUGUAUAAGCACAAAAUUUACCUGGUGCGUCCGCCCUUGUGUCUACUAAGUACAGAUGGUGUACUGUUCUAUCAUAGCUUGUUCUGUUUUUUUUUUCAACCAUUUUUUGUUGUAUAUUCUUUGUUAGUAAAUGCCCCAAUCUUUAUCAUCUAGGGCUAGGGCGCUAGGCACCAUGUAUUUGGUAGUACAGUGAGUUUAUGUGAAAUCCUCCAAAAUUUUGUUAUCUCGAUUUCUUAAAAAAGCAGAAGAGAGUUGUCCGGUUAAUUUACGGAGAACCGAGCUAAAUCGUUACAACACGCCUAGCAAGAAGGGCGUCCUGGCCGACCUGGCACCCACAAUACCAACACACACCUCCCAGGCGAGAACACUGUCGAGGUAGCCUGCAAUGUCAUCGUCAUCACCUCUCUCCGAGCAAGCGACUCCGACUUCAACGCAGACGAACCGUCAAGGCCACUCCGAACGGACGACACACGAGAACCAUGUUGGCUAAUGCCACACAAUCGGCCGUCUAUGACGAAGACCCGGCAGCUUUGACUAGGGUCCCUUUCUCUAUCAGUUAUAUGGUUCUUAGCUGAUUGCAUGAUUAGGAUUUUAACACUCAGGCUACGUUUGGCUGUAGGGUAUUUUUAAAGUUUUCAAACAAUACUGUGGUUUUUUCAUAAACCUGCAGUAUUAAAUACUUUGAUGCGUUUGAUGUCAACAAAAACUAAAGUUCUAUAACCCGUAGUAUCCCAGAAACCGUGGUCUUUUUGCAAUUUCGGAAAAUGAGGUCCCGACUUCUUUUUUUUCUAAACGGAGCCGAGAGAAAUCUUCAUA
rnacentral:lncRNA from 1 species